UACGGAGGGGGCUAGCGUUGUCCGGAAUUACUGGGCGUAAAGCGCAUGUAGGCGGAUGACCAAGUUGAGGGUGAAAGCCCGGAGCUCAACUCCGGAACUGCCUUCAAAACUGGUCGUCUAGAGUUCGGGAGAGGUGAGUGGAAUUCCUAGUGUAGAGGUGAAAUUCGUAGAUAUUAGGAAGAACACCAGUGGCGAAGGCGGCUCACUGGCCCGGUACUGACGCUGAGGUGCGAAAGCGUGGGGAGCAAACAGG
rnacentral:rRNA from 1 species